CAGUCGCCGCGGUAAUACAAAGGAUGCAAGCGUUACUCGGAAUCACUGGGCGUAAAGGACGCGUAGGCGGAUUAUCAAGUCUCUUGUGAAAUCUAACGGCUUAACCGUUAAACUGCUUGGGAAACUGAUAAUCUAGAGUAGGGGAGAGGCAGAUGGAAUUCUUGGUGUAGGGGUAAAAUCCGUAGAGAUCAAGAAGAAUACCCAUUGCGAAAGCGAUCUGCUGGAACUUAACUGACGCUAAUGCGUGAAAGCGUGGGGAGCGAACAGGAUUAGAUACCCGUGUAGUCCCUGUCUCUUAUAC
rnacentral:rRNA from 1 species